AUGGAAGUUCAACACCUUUUGCAAGGAAUGCAACUUUACACGGAUGGAGCAAAGAUGCAGCAGGAAUCUCAUCCUUAUGAAAGGAAUAGAAUACUUCGUUUGGCGCAGCUUCCAAUAGGAUGCCUUUGCCAAGCUUUACUUCAGCAGGUCGAUAGAGCCAAUUAACACACAACUUGUUGUUCUCUUUACCAGUAGUCAGCCACCGAAUUAUUCCAAUGAAAGGUGGGGAAUCCCGGGGGGGUUUGAAAAGAGCACAAUCUCCAAUGCUGAUCUUGCGUCCGUCCUGUUAGAUAAAAGAAAACAGAGAACUUCAGUGAAAUGUUAUACACUUUAUCUGAAAAAAGACAGCUAAAUAAAAUUGCAUUUCUGAAUCAGUGAAUUUGGUCUUGCUGCCCAGGAAACAGCCUGGUUAGAACCAGACUUUGCAUCCAUUUCAGCCUCAACACGCUUCUUCCAUGUGUCGACCAGACUUCUAGCUUUCUUCUGAAUUUCCAAGUUCUUAUGUGUGCGCAGAUGGUUCACUGACUUGCCAAUGUUACACAUUUGUAAGGCGUGAAGAUUUACAGGGAGUUUAUCAAGUGCACGGAGUAAAACUAAAAGAAAUUCCUCUAUAGAUUUUUCACUAUCCUUGGAACCACUGCCAUCCCCAAUCUUCCCUUUAUGCACCUCCUGCAGCCAUUCGUCAAAUACAGGCAAGCCCCUAAGCUGCACAAAUCUAUUAAGGCAAUCAAACUUAUCUGUGCCCGCGACCACACCGGCCAGUACAGACCGACCAGCCAAGUCUAUCUUCUUUUCAUUUUUCUCAGGCAGCAUGAGCUGCACUAAUUUUUCAACACCUUCAGAAUCUACAAGCCCUCCCUUUUCUGUAAAUUUAGCAAUCUCAGACUUCCAAACGCUUUCAGGCCUAGAGUGUCCAGAACCCCCAUCAUCAAUUUUUGAAUAACGCUCUCGUUUAACAGGCUCAGAGCCUUGAUCUCCUCGCUCCCUUUUCUUUCCCUUAACUUGAGAAGGAAAGGAUGAGGCACCAUUGUGUACAUUAUCUGACCCAGGUUUUAGCUGUGAUGUUGAUGUGGGACCAUUCACUGGCUUUGGAGAACGUCCCCCUGGUUGCACAGUUGCAUGCAUUUCUAUGCUUGUCUUAUAUAAUAGCUGAUCUACUUCUUCUUGCCGUUCCUGUGAAAAAGAAAAGAAAUAUCAACUACCACUAAGGAUGGGUAAAACCAUAAGAAGUGUGCCAAAUAGAUAGAUUAACAUGCAAAAAGUGCAAGCAAAACAUACAUUAAUAUAAUCUUGGUCAGUUAGCCACCAUAAACACUUGUUUGUAAUGUCGUAAACUCGCCGGCACACAAAAGAGCAAAUUCCUGAUGGAAGUUCAACACCUUUUGCAAGGAAUGCAACUUUACACGGAUGGAGCAAAGAUGCAGCAGGAAUCUCAUCCUUAUGAAAGGAAUAGAAUACUUCGUUUGGCGCAGCUUCCAAUAGGAUGCCUUUGCCAAGCUUUACUUCAGCAGGUCGAUAGAGCCAAUUAACACACAACUUGUUGUUCUCUUUACCAGUAGUCAGCCACCGAAUUAUUCCAAUGAAAGGUGGGGAAUCCCGGGGGGGUUUGAAAAGAGCACAAUCUCCAAUGCUGAUCUUGCGUCCGUCCU
rnacentral:lncRNA from 1 species